rnacentral:rRNA from 1 species
AACGAACGCUGGCGGCAUGCCUAACACAUGCAAGUCGAACGAGACCUUCGGGUCUAUUGGCGCACGGGUGCGUAACGCGUGGGAACCUUCCCUUAGGUUCGGACUAACUCCCCGAAAGGGGUGCUAAUAGCGGAUAAUGUCUUCGAACCAAAGAUUUAUUGCCACUGGAUGGGCCCGCGUUGGAUUAGCUAGUUGGUAAGGUAAAAGCCUACCAAGGCGACGAUCCAUAGCUGGUCUGAGAGGAUGAUCCGACACACUGGGACUGAGACACGGCCCAGACUCCUACGGGAGGCAGCAGUGGGGAAUAUUGGACGAUGGGCGAAAGCCUGAUCCAGCAAUGCCGCGUGAGUGAUGAAGGACUUAGGGUUGUAAAGCUCUUUUACCCGGGAUGAUAAUGACGGUACCUGGAGAAUAAGCGCCGGCUAACUCCGUG